ensembl:lncRNA
AAGGUAGGGGUUAGACAGUACAGAGACAGGUCAUUAAGGAGCAGGUAGGGGUUAGACAGUACAGAGACAGGUCAUUAAGGAGCAGGUAGGGGUUGGACAGUACAGAGACAGGUCAUUAAGGAGCAGGUAGGGGUUAGACAGUACAGAGACAGGUCAUUAAGGAGCAGGUAGGGGUUAGACAGUACAGAGACAGGUCAUUAAGGGGCGGGUAGGGGUUAGACAGUACAGAGACAGGUCAUUAAGGAGCAGGUAGGGGUUAGACAGUACAGAGACAGGUCGUUAAGGAGCAGGUAGGGGUUAGACAGUACAG